CACUGAGCCAUGUCUCCAGACCUCUCUCUGUUGAGUUUUUGCAUUCAUUUGAGAAAAACGCCUUUUGUUAUUUCCGUUCCUAUUGGCUUUUUAAAAUACAUACAUACAUACAUACAUACAUACACACACACAGACAGACAGACAGACAGACAGACAGACAGACAGACAGACAUACUACCCCAAACAAGUAUUUCUCACUGUAGAAAUAACCAAGUCAAUGACCAGGUGAGGCAAAUCACAAGAUUUGUCUGCGGUAGUUUUAUUUGCCAAAAUUUAAGAAUACCCACAGAAUGUUGGGGGCUUAUAGAAAGAUUACAGUAGCUAGAAUAAUCCUGUGGUCAAAUUAGGGCCAAUUAAGAAUCAAAGUAAAUAUCAAGC
rnacentral:lncRNA from 1 species